AUACCUUUCUCGGCCUUUUGGCUAAGAUCAAGUGUAGUAUCUGUUCUUAUCAGUUUAAUAUCUGAUAUGUGGGCCAUAGGUCCACACGAUAUUAAAUUACUUUUUUUAAGGGGAGGGCCCACAAAGUAGCUUGCUACUUGGGUUUUCAUGUGUCGCCCUUGUCUUGCACUAUUGCAUGGGCCUGGCGCACCCUAC